UGUUAAAUAAUAUAAAUUAUUAUAUAUGACUGUUACUCAUAAAAUUUCAUUAAUCGAAUUUAACAU
rnacentral:tRNA from 1 species